rfam:Zootermopsis nevadensis contig8174, whole genome shotgun sequence.
GCCACGGUGGUCUAGCGGUUAGAACGCUGGCCUUCUAAUCCUGGGGUCUCGGGUUCGAUUCCCGGCGGUGCCC